GAAAAAUAUUCAGACUUCACUCGAAAAUGCAGCAGCGAAGAGUUCAUAACUCUGCUCUUCCUGGGGCACCCAGUGUUAGCUGGGAACAGGGUAGGUCUGGGUUCAAGUCCCCGGCUCUGCCAGCAUUCCAUGUGCUCCUUGGACAGGUCUGGUAUUCUCUUUGCACCUCAGUGUGCCCAGCUGUGGAAUGGGCUGCAGAGAAGUUCUGUGUGGUUCAAGACCACCCACAGCUGACUUGGUGCACGAUAGUGGUGAUUUUCAUCUAUCACUGAUGGCCACCUUCAGCCUGUAUUUGGCCAAUGAGAGCCCAGAGAUUGCAGCAUUUUGCUUUUAGACUUAGAAAGUGUGACAACAAGCCUUGGUGACUCGUUGGUGUCUAAGAGAAUCUUUCAGACAACUCAACCAUGGUCUGGGUUUCCUCCCAGACCUCUACUCAUGAGGUUGCACCUGGACUGAAUAAAAGGAGCUGUCUGUCUGAGCACCUGGCGACCCACCAUGUCCAUGCAUCCCUCUCACCUCCUGACUAGUUGUGAUCAGCCUCUUUAACUCCUAUCUCCAUGGCUUCCCUGCUGUGAUGGACUGUACGCUGGAACCGUGAGCCCGAUGGCCCUUCCUUCCUAACGUUGGUUUUGUCACAGCAACAAUUAAACCAAUACAAUCCCUGA